AUAAAAGCUGUGAAGGAGAGGAGUAGAUAAACAUCCUUUAAAGAGAGUGGAAUCCUCGGCUGAAAGAUUUCACAAGGCUCUGUUUAUUGAAGGUAGCUCUGGAGCUGUCAAGCUGAAAUAAAGUAGGCUUGAACGGUUGUAUCCGUUAUCUAAAGAGUGCUAUAUUUUGCUUGAAAGCAGAAUAUAGAAAUAAGGUGGUACCGCGAAUAAUACCCUUCGUCCUUAAC
rnacentral:ncRNA from 1 species